rnacentral:lncRNA from 1 species
AAGACGUGCCUGUUUCCCCUUCUGCUGUGAUUGUGCAUUUUCUGAGGCCUCCUCAGCCAUGUGAAAUGAUAGCCCUGCUAGAAUCUAGGGAUUCAGAAAGAAAAGGACUGUCCUCUGUGCUUCAGGAACAUUCAAACAAAUGUCUCAGCAAGAAUGCCCUCGUCAGAAAAGGCCCUUCUAUCCCAACCUCCACAACUGUGAAUAAACAAAGUAAUGGUGCAGAGGAAAUAUUUGACAAGAUAAUGGCUGAGAAUUCUCCCAAAUUGAUAAAAGACACCAUUCCAUACAUUCAAGACCGGAUAUACAAGAAGAAUUCAAAACCAAGCAUUUCAUGUAAGAAUUCCGGAAAGCAAAACGCAAAAAAGAAAACAUCUAAAGUACUCUGAGGAAAAAGAUACCUUCCUUUCAAAUAAGUGGUAGUAAAUGUGGUAGCUAAUUUUCUCAUGGUGAGGGAGGAGGGAGAAAACUAGAGUUCAAUCGUUUAGAGUUUAAUAUGCUUAAAAAAAAACCCUAC